rnacentral:piRNA from 1 species
UACAAAGCACUGUGAAUGAAGGUAGUU